GUUUGGCAAGAAUUAAGCAAUAUCAGAGAUGCCCAGUAUGUUUGAGGUCAUUUCAUUAUCUUUCAUUAACAAUGCAGCGAUGGCUUUAAAGAUUGCCAGAGGUAUGUCAACACCGGUUGGGGUUUUUUCUCUCUUUUUCUAUUUUCUAAAAAGCCAUGCAGAUAGAUCACUUUCUUUCAAAUGCUGUGGAAAUGACAGAUUUCUUUAACUUUCAUAGGCAGGCAUCUUUUCUUGACCCUGUUCUGGGAGAUGAGGUUGUCUUGAGGCUGCAUUGAGGUGGGUUUUGCAUUCGAAGUUCACACUGAAAAUUGGGCAGUGAAGGUUCAAAAUGAAUAAAAGACACCGUGAAGUCUUCUGUGAUGAGCAGACCAAAAUCAAAAUGACCAAAAGUAAUUAUUUUCUGAAAAGAUGGGUUUCUAAUAAUAAGUACAAUAAUAUGUUAAUGAAAAAGUCAUUAACAAACAACACUUAAAAGAAUCAUGCUGUUAUUAGUCCUCAUUCUUUCAUGCCAUAAUUAUUUUAAAGGAUUUGAAGUGUGAAAUAAGGUAUGUAAAUUCAGUGUGGUGCUUCAUGUAAAAAAACAACAACAAAAAAAAUAUUAUUAUUAUUAUUAUUAUUAGUUGUGAAAUUUACUAGUACGUCCUGAGUGCAAAUUGUUCUAAAGUAAUCCUACACCGAGUUUUUUUUUUUUUUUUUUUUUUUUUUUUCAGUGUAUGUGCAUUUUAUUAUACGUCAACACUGAAUUUUACACAACAUGCGGAUCACUGCCUUAAACCUGUUGCGCAUAAAAAUGACUCUAAUCCAGAAUUUGAAAUCUCUAAAACUAGACUCAGACAAACCACUAGAGGGUCUCAUUUGAUAUUAUCCAACCGAUGAUUCGGUUCCCCCCAGCUAAUAACCUGUUUUUAUACAGUCUAUGCUAAUAACCUGCUGUGCUGACCAGCAUCAGACCUCUCUGAUGUAGCCUACAUCUUGCUGAUAAAAGUGUAUUCUGCUGUAUGGAUCAUCUGAGGUGACGGUACAAUGCUUCACCAAUUCUUAGUUCAUGCAGCUUUUCAGACCAGCAGGUGGCUUCCAAGACAUCAAAGGUUAAAACUGUAAGUCAGAUUGUUCUUCUCAUCUUUGUGGUGCUUUUCCUGGCACCAGAGUUUUAUGUUUAGUCAAGCUGGUCUGACAGUUUUUUGUCAAGGGCCUGAGCACUGUAAAGGUUGUGACCAAAUGGCUUCUCCAGUACCACCCUGAGCCAUGCGUCAGAUGGGGGGCGACAGGUGUUGUUGAUCUUCUCUGCAAUGUCUGCAUAUGCGAAAGCUGGAACAGACAGGUAGAAGAGCCUCCCUGCUUCGACCAUACCCUCCUGUCCUAGCUGCUGCUUGAUCUGCUGGCUGAGCUUCUCGUAGUCCUCAGUAGUCUUCAGCUGGUGAUAUUUGGAAAGAUGCAGGAACUGGUCUUUGACCAAAGUACAGCGCUCUGCAGAGAGCUCCUGAGGACAAGCCAGCUCCUUCAAGAUCCCAAACAGCAGCGGUGUCCCCUUCUCGCUCGGCGAAAGGCCCCCACCGUAAAAUGAGAAGGUGUGUCCUUUGCCUACUUGGUCAGCAUAGAGCUGGAAAAAGCCUUGCCACAGGUACUUCCUGGCCAAGUCACCUGUUCCACCCACAACUACCACAGUCACAUGCCCAAGUCUCUUCUUAGCCUCAUGAUUAUCUGUGUGGCCUCUCUGCCAGCAUAUGAUGGCCAUUAGCAGCAGCUCCCAUUUUAUCCUAAGCAUCGUAAUAUCACACACCCACCCUUUAAAAAGAAAUAAAAUUAAUAGGAUUUUAGAAUGUUUGUAAAAAAAAUCUGUUGAUGCAAAUUCUGAAAAGAUUUCACACAUAUGUAUAAAAAAACAUAUGAAUGAAUGAAUGGUUAAGCAUGAACUUAAAGGAAUGUAUUCAGAAGCUGGAUUAUAAUGUUUGCUUCAUUG